UGGGGAAUUUUGGACAAUGGGCGCAAGCCUGAUCCAGCCAUGCCGCGUGCGGGAAGAAGGCCUUCGGGUUGUAAACCGCUUUGUCAGGGAAGAAAUCUUCUGAGUUAAUAGCCUCGGGAGGAUGACGGUACCUGAAGAAUAAGCACCGGCUAACUACGUGCCAGCAGCCGCGGUAAUACGUGGGGUGCAAGCGUUAAUCGGAAUUACUGGGCGUAAAGCGUGCGCAGGCGGUUUUGUAAGACAGAGGUGAAAUCCCCGGGCUCAACCUGGGAACUGCCUUUGUGACUGCAAGGCUUGGGUGCGGCAGAGGGGGAUGGAACUCCGCGUGUAGCAGUGAAAUGCGUAGAUAUGCGGAGGAACACCGAUGGCGAAGGCAAUCCCCUGGGCCUGCACUGACGCUCAUGCACAAAGCGUGGGGAGCAAACAGGAUUAGAUACCCUGGUAGUCCACGCCCUAAAACGAUGUCAACUGGUUGUUGGGAAGGUUCCUUCUCAGUAACGUAGCUAACGCGGUGAAGUUGACCGCUGGGGAGUACGGCCGCAAGGUUGAAAC
rnacentral:rRNA from 1 species